rnacentral:rRNA from 1 species
UGGGCCCGCGGCGCAUUAGCUAGUUGGUGGGGUAAAGGCUUACCAAGGCAAUGAUGCGUAGCCGAACUGAGAGGUUGAUCGGCCACAUUGGGACUGAGACACGGCCCAAACUCCUACGGGAGGCAGCAGUAGGGAAUCUUCCACGAUGGGCGAAAGCCUGAUGGAGCAACGCCGCGUGGGUGAAGAAGGUCUUCGGAUCGUAAAACCCUGUUGUUAGAGAAGAAAGUGCGUGAGAGUAACUGUUCACGUUUCGACGGUAUCUAACCAGAAAGCCACGGCUAACUACGUGCCAGCAGCCGCGGUAAUACGUAGGUGGCAAGCGUUAUCCGGAUUUAUUGGGCGUAAAGGGAACGCAGGCGGUCUUUUAAGUCUGAUGUGAAAGCCUUCGGCUUAACCGGAGUAGUGCAUUGGAAACUGGGAGACUUGAGUGCAGAAGAGGAGAGUGGAACUCCAUGUGUAGCGGUGAAAUGCGUAGAUAUAUGGAAGAACACCAGUGGCGAAAGCGGCUCUCUGGUCUGUAACUGACGCUGAGGUUCGAAAGCGUGGGUAGCAAACAGGAUUAGAUACCCUGGUAGUCCACGCCGUAAACGAUGAAUGCUAAGUGUUGGAGGGUUUCCGCCCUUCA